rnacentral:rRNA from 1 species
UACAGAGGUCUCAAGCGUUGUUCGAUGAUUGGUGCGUAAAGGGUGCGUAGGCGGCGCGGUAAGUCGGAUGUGAAAUCUCGGAGCUUAACUCCGAACUGCAUUCGAUACUGCCGUGCUUGAGGACUGGAGAGGAGACUGGAAUUUACGGUGUAGCGGUGAAAUGCGUAGAUAUCGGGAGGAACACCCGUGGCGAAAGCGGCUCUCUGGGACGGUACUGACGCUGAGACGCGAAAGCGUGGGGAGCAAACAGG